UUAGGUCAUAGAGCCAAAGUUCUCAGAUGCUAUCGGUAAAACACUCGUCUGUGGGAGCUUGUCAAAAAUGCAGAUCCCCUGGCCCCACUCCAGGCAUUCUGAAUUGAUUUAUGAUGGGCCCUAGGAAUCUGCAUUUUUCAAAGCACCCAUAUAACUCUGAUGCAUCAGGCUUUGAGACACAUCGCUAGAGGGGCAGAGAGCUUUGCUCUAGGGAGGGAUGAAGAGGACCUCUGUUUCUGGUUUCUCAUCUGAGGUGUUAAAUCAUGUAAAAAUAUUUAGGUCCUUUUACGGUUCAAGAAGAGAUUGGGAUUGUACCUUCAAAGCCAUUCAGAACCUUAGUGUUUUCAGUAAGAGAAAAAAGAGGAAGAAUGAGAGAAAAAGUAGUAUUAAUGGAGGGGAGUAUUAGGAUCUAUGUUGACCUUUCUGGGUCUGUCACCCCUCAGACUUACCCACCCCACAAAACAUGGCUGCCAGUCUCUUCUCCCCUUGAACUGAUCAGCCCAUGGACAUUUUCUGGAACUGUCAGAAUGAGACAUUGAUCCCCAAAGGAAAAGCAAUGGUAAAGAACCCUCCUAAUAACUCCCGUAUCUGUUCUGGUCCCCUAAUGUUCUUUCCUAAAAGAGGUUUUACUUAAAGGAAAUCUCCUGGUGUUUUCUUUGAGGUGGACACAGCUAUUCCUGUCUUCAUUGAUUUCUUCAUCUAAGUGAGAAGCGGCCAUUUUAGUUUUUCCUACCAUUUCUCAUGGCUUUUUGUUCCAGGCUUGACCCAAACUGAGGACAGUAUUAGGAGACGUCUUUGGGGAAGGGCCAGGGGUUGUUUAAGGGUCUAGAAUAUGGAAUCUCACAGCUAUUUGUGCCCUCAAAGUUUGAGCAAGACCAGGGCUUUCAUUUUACAGAGGGUGGUGAGGCAUAGAAAUGUUGAGUAACUUGCUGCAGAUACACAGCUGGUUGGUGGAUACUGGGUUGAAGAGUUUUGAUUGCAUCAAAUAGGAACAGAGAAUCGCUGAGCACAGAGCAGAUUUUCAAGGAAAGUUCAUACCUAGACCCACUCAGGGCCCAACCAAAACUGUCACUGAGUUUUCCCCUCAAGCCUGGCUGAUUCUGUCUGGGAAGCUCCAGGAAGUCUUGAAAAGAACUUCACAGAGGCCGACAGUUGAGGACGGUUGACCGAACGCGCUGAACCUAGAGAAAGGAGCGAGCUGGGAAGAUCCUCCCUUAUUGUCAGGUCAGCAAAAUCCCUGUCGGACCUCUCCACUCCCCUUUCCCCCAUGUUGAUCCAGUCAGCAUUAUAAACCAAGAUGAGAUUGUCUCUUCAAAAAGUGAUGCUAGGGGCGUGUGGGUGGCUCAGUCAAUUAAACCUCCAACUCUUGAUUUCAGCUCAAGUCAUGAUCUCACAGUUCAUAGGUUGAGCCCUGCAUCAGAUGAUUCUCUUUCUCUCAAAAUAAGUAAACACUAAAAAAAAAAAAAAAAAAGAAGAAGCAAUUCUAGAUACAUUUAGCUCCCUAAUAACACAUAAGACAAAAUUGCAUUUUCAAAUCAUUCCUUUUCAUCAAAAUUGAGAACUUCUCAAUUAGAGGCAAGUUUUUAAAGAAGCUCCUUCCUGUAAAAGUUCACCUAGUGGGGUAAGUUCUGAAAAGUGUAUAUUUGGCUGGAUCGUACUCUCAAACGAGGCAUAACCUUUCCUAUCCAAGAUGAAUUAAGACAAAAAACCUUCAAGUUAGUUCUACGAUUAUUUCACAACCCAGUGUCAACCAUCUAUGGACAGAAUGAACAGGGGAAUGGUUCCUGAGCUUUGCCGGAAUUACCCCCAUGAACCUUUUCCCCAGUUUCUGCAGAGUUUAUGAUUUUUGAGCGGGGCCAGAAUUAUAACCCUCUUUACAGCUGGAGAAAGUGAGGCAGGGGAGCAGAGCAUAUACAGCAUUUACUGUCACCCAGGGUUCCAAAAACUUGCCUAGAUACCACCCUGGCUGUGGUGCCAGAGCUCAGCUGCAAGGCCAAUUUCAUGUCUCCAAAUUUUUGGACACCGUACCUCUAUGUACUUCAUCAUACGUCUACUAAGAUUUUUCUCUUAUUAUAUUUUCUCCACUAUGUAAGUAAUAUAUGCAUGUUAUUGUUAAAAAUUAAAAAUGACACAGAGUGUUGCUUAA